rnacentral:lncRNA from 1 species
UGAUUGUGAGCCGCUGUAUGAUGCAAAUAUAUGAAGAUGAUGAAAAGAAAGUGGGACAUAUUGCUUCUUCAUUGGUAGCUUGUUGUACAGAUAUCCUGGUUGAUAAAAAUAUAUACGAACUGGUCAUUUUCUAUACUGUACUGGAUAUACAUUUAUAGGGGAUAUCUAUACAUUCUCUGGCAAAACACUUAUACAGAACGAGCCCGAAUGUUUGCAAGCUUUACCCUUCAACUCUAUUUGGUCAUUUCUUAUCUAAUUUCUUGUGCAUUUUUUAGUUCUUCAUAUUAGCUUCAGAUAUGUUUCUUCUGAAGUAAGUUCCAUAAAUCAGUGCCCUCAGUCAUAAAUAAAUAGUUACUAUGCAAUCAGAAUCUCAUAAUUUUCAUUCACAAAAAGUACAAGCAAGUUGCCAUUAUCAAAAGUGAGCUUUCUUCAGGAAUUCUUUUAUAAAAUGUGAAGCUCCAAGAAAUAAAUUUUUUAGGAAAAUUCAUGCCUAAACUACUAAAUGAUUGAGGCAUAUGCUUAAUACUCACACAAGAUGAUGAUACCUGUGAGAAUAACAAAAUGUGAUGUAUGGCACAAGUCCAAGAUCCCGGGUGAACUCUGCAGUUCUAAAUUUUUUAACAAACAGCUCCAUGAAGGGAUGUUGCUAUAGAUCUUCAAGUUCUUGAUUCUGCCAACAAUUUUACAAUCAUGUUAGUCGCGGAAUUGACUAAUAUAACCUCAUUGCAGAACAUCAGCAUCAAAGAAUGUAUAUCAUGCUUGUAAAACACUCAUAUCAUGGGGGCAGAUAAUGCCAAUACAUAUCUUCUCCCCUCAGUCGUCUUUUUGGCUAAUUGCAGACAUUAUUGCUGAAAAAAUAUUUGCUAGUAAUGAGAGCAUCUUAAUCCCUAUAUCACUAUUUGAAAUCAUAGUUAAACAACCAAAAGAAGGCAUUAAAGUGCAAUCAAUCCCAGGCUGCAAACACAAAAUUCAACUUGCUAUAACCGAGAACCUUCUACCAAAAAAUCAGCACAGACAACUUCGUGUAAUGCAAAAUGCAUCACUACCCCUAGCUGUUAAGCCAAUGAGAACAUGCACCAUGGAAGACAGAGGAAUACCUCUGAUCAUUUCAAACCAGGCUAACAUUGACCACCAAAGAUGAUAGCAAAUAGCACGAGAGAUUCAUGCACCAGACAAGCAGAGGAUUCUUCAAACAUAAUAUGCGACUUCCUUAAAGAAGUAGGGUUGAGAGAAAGAAAGAUCGAGCAUCCUAUAAGGCCAAAUAAAUUUCUCAAGUUGAAGACUUUACCAGAGAAGUUUUUAGCACUUGGUUAAACACUAGGGAUGGAUUGAAAUGCGAUGGAUAACAUAUAGACAUUCUGGAGUUGUUUUGGGAGCUGAGAACACAGAAGACAAUCCCCAAAUACUCAAAAAAUUAGAUCUUCCAAGGUUACAUAGCAUGUAGAUCUGCUAAGAUGGCAAUUAAAUGUGAGCAUUUCUUCCACCAUCAAAGAAUACUUAGAAGGAAAAGUUGGGCUAGCCUCUUUCAUUUAGGAAAAUGAUGCACAGUUGUAAUCUUUUAAGUUGGACAGGAACCCGGUUGGAAUUAACUUAGGAAGCUUUUAAGAAGCACUUAUCUUGCAUUUUGGAUGCUGGAAUUUGGAGUCACAAACUUGAGGAACUCUUUUAACUUUUUCGAGUCAGAAUUGAUGGAGGACUACGAUCACCACUUUGAGCAGUUGAUAGCACCUGCAAGCACUCCUACUCAAGAGAAAGAGGUAUAUACUUUUAUGUGGUUUGCAAGAUUAUAUUGUUGUUGAAAUCGAAUUGCAGCAACCUAAUGCCCUAACAAUUGCCAUGGGAUGCAAAUUGAUUAGAAGAUCCUACUUCAUCAAUCAUUUAAGUUGGGGAGCGAUCAAAGAGAAACAUUUUUUUUUUCUAAUAGAGAUCAAAGAGAAACGUGAAGGAGAUUUUGUUUUAAAUGUGACGAAAGAUUUAUUCCCUGUCCAUAAAUGAGAGAAAGAAAAAGAAAGUUUUUUAGUAGGAGGGUGUUGAUAAACGUGAAAACCAAAUAGAGGAAUAGAUACUACCUUAGAAUCCUAUGUAGGUGGAGCAUUAUAUAUCAUUUUUACCUUUCUAAUUCUCUUGUGGGUGGUCACUUUUUUCCCAGGUAGUUUUAUGGGUCUCUUGUGGAGGUUACUUAUUGUGUAGUAUGUAGUUUUAUGGUUCGCAUGUGUAUGGUUACUUGUACCCGCUGAGUAGUUUUAUGGCUCACUUGUGGAGGUUGCCUAAUUGUAGCAUGCAAUUUUAUAGUUCUAUUAUAACCAUUAGCAUUAUGCAUUGUUUUAGAAUAAAAAGAUCAGGCAAGAUUUUAUAUGAAAAGAAAGUUGAGUUUCUUCCAGAACUCGAAAAUUGUUAAGUUGUAAUAUACGAACUCAAAAU